rnacentral:tRNA from 2 species
GCGGGUAUGGUUCAAUGGUAGAACGUCAGCCUUCCAAGCUGAACACAGGGGUGCGAUUCCCCUUACCCGCUCCA